rnacentral:rRNA from 1 species
UACGUAGGUCGCAAGCGUUGUCCGGAUUACUGGGCGUAAAGAGCGCGCAGGCGGCUGGUCAAGUCCGAUGUGAAAUCUCCCGGCUCAACUGGGAAACUGCAUCGGAAACUGAUCGGCUUGAAGAUGGGAGAGGGUAGUGGAAUUCCCGGUGUAGCGGUGAAAUGCGUAGAUAUCUGGAGGAACACCGGUGGCGAAGGCGGUUCUCUGGGCAUGAUCUGACGCUGAGGAGCGAAAGUGUGGGGAGCGAACAGG